AACUUCAUAUCUCUUUUAGGUCACUUAGUUGACUCGCUAAGUGUUAAUAGGGAAGUCCGGUGGAAAUCCGGCGCGGUCCCGCCACUGUAAGCAGGGAGAGACGUUUAGGCCGAAAGGCAGCCACUGUGUACCGUCGUGCAUGGGAAGGUGAACGAAUCGAGGAACUGCAAGCCAGGAGACCUGCCUAAAAGAACGGCAAGUU
rnacentral:ncRNA from 2 species